rnacentral:lncRNA from 1 species
CUUUGAACUACCCUUAAACUUUGAUAGGGAUAUCGCAAAACGUCAGCUGCUUAGCCACUUGAUUAGCGAAUGAUUUAAGAGGUUCUUUUUAUAACCAUUCAAUUCAUCAGGGUAACAUAUUGCUUUCCUGUAAUACUUUUCUACUCAAGAGAACCAUCCUAAAUUGGUAGAGCUAAACACAAACAAAACUUAAAACCGUGUGCAUGCAUACUUACUUAGAUACACUUCAUGAAUAUUUAAUGUUUUUCUUUGACUGCCUUAAAACAUAGACUAAAAAAAUAUACAG